rnacentral:rRNA from 1 species
GAAGUAAAAAGUCGUAACAAGGUUUCCGUAGGUGAACCUGCGGAAGGAUCAUUAAUGAAACAAAUGUCAAGAGGGGUUGCAGCUGGCCUCAACGGGCAUGUGCUCGCCCCGAUUGCACAUCCAUCUCUCACACCUGUGCACAACCUGUAGCUUGGGAUGAUCACAAUGUUGGAAACGAUGUUGAAAGCCCUUGCUAUGAAUUUUUACACACACGAAUGCAAGUGAUAGAACGUAUAAAGUUAUAUAAGCGCGUAACAGCGUAAAUAAAUACAACUUUCAGCAACGGAUCUCUUGGCUCUCGCAUCGAUGAAGAACGCAGCGAAAUGCGAUAAGUAAUGUGAAUUGCAGAAUUCAGUGAAUCAUCGAAUCUUUGAACGCACCUUGCGCUCCUUGGUAUUCCGAGGAGCAUGCCUGUUUGAGUGUCAUGAAAAUCUCAACUGCCUCAGCUUUUUAUAGUUGAAGUGAAGUUGGACUUGGAGGAUAAUUGCUGGCGCAACUCUGGUUGCUUGUUGGCUCCUCUUGAAUGAAUGAGCUUUCCAGUGGAUCGUGCUGAUGUGAUAAUUAUCUACGUCAGACAUGCAGAGGGUUUAGCUCUCCUACUGGAACAGAGGGGGGGAUUGAUGAAUGACAAAUUGACCUCAAAUCA